GAGAAAGAAAUGUAAAUGCUUCACUAUAAAAAAACAAAUACAUACGGAGAAAGUAAUGCAGGAAAUGAAGGACAAAAAGAAGCUAUAAGAUUUGUAUUUGCAGAAGAGAUGGUUUACUUCCUCUGUGGGUAACCAGGUUAUCAGAUUUGGUGUUUUCCAAAGAAAAGGAGCUUAUGGACUAGUAAGGAAAAUUCUCAUCUAUAAGGGAGCAAUUGGAAAUAUGGAAUUGGAGUUCACUGUGGUGCAGAUUUGGGAAUUUCAGGCCACAAACAGCAGUUAUGGCUCAGGAAUGACUGAUUUUCCAGAGGGAAAAGAAGACAAGUAAAGAGAUGAAGACUUCUUCCAGGAACCUGAGGUACUUCAAUGUCUGCAGAGAUGCCUCAUCCUACACCCCUCAGUCACUCAUAUCUGGAUAUAUUGGACCUUGUCAACAUCAAUAAUGGACAUACCUCUGAUAUUUGAACUCUGAAUCUCACUCUGUGACCACAACUUUGUAUCUUUCUAAGUCUUUAAUCUUCAACCUCACAGAACUCUUCAUACCCUAAAAUAUAGUAUUUUCACCUGG
rnacentral:lncRNA from 1 species